UCCUCCUUGUAUGGAGGCAGUUCGGCCAGAGUGAUACAACUGACCGUAGGGGUUGCGCUCGUUAUGGGACUUAACCCGACAUCUCACGACACGAGCUGACGACAGCCAUGCAGCAUCUGUGUAGCACCCUCGAAGGAGGCCCCAGUUUCUUGGGGCUUGCAGCUACAUGUCAAACCUAGGUGAGGUUCUUCGCUUUGUAACGAAUUAAACCACACGCUCCACUGCUUGUGCAGGUCCCCGUCAAUUCCUUUGAGUUUUAGCCUUGCGGCCGUACUCCCCAGGCGGGAUGCUUAACGCGUUAGCUUAAGACACUGAAGGGGUCAAUACCUCCAAUAUCUAGCAUCCAUAGUUUACAGCGUAGACUAC
rnacentral:misc_RNA from 1 species